rnacentral:lncRNA from 1 species
GGCCCAUACUGGGUUAUAUUGGCCCCUACUGGGUCAUACGGGUCCUUACUGGUCUAUAUUAAGUUAUACUGGCCCAUACUGGAUUGUACUGGGCCAUACUGAGUUAUAUUGGACCAUAGCAGGUGAUAGUGGCCCAUACUGGGUCAUACUCGUCCAUACUGGUCCAUACUGGGUUAUACUACCCACAGCCAGCAUGUGCUGGUGGGGCCAUGGUCAGGGUCAUACUGGUGGGUACUGGUCUACAGUGGUCCAUACCGUUCUAUAGUGGUGCUUACUGGCCCAUAGUGGUCUAUACUGGUGCGUACUGUUUUAUACCGGUGCAUACAGGUCUAUAAUAGCGCUUACUGGUCUAUAGCGGUGCAUACUGGCCCAUAGUGGUCUAUACUGGUGCAUACUGUUUUAUACUGGUGCAUACUGGUCUAUAAUAGUGCGUACUGGUCUACACUGGUGCUUACUGGCCCAUAGUGGUCUAUACUGGUGCGAACUGUUUUAUACUGGUGCAUACUGGUCUAUACUGGUGCUUACUGGUCUAUACUGGUGCAUAUUGACCCAUAGUGGUCUAUACUGGUGCGUACUGCUUUAUACUGGUGCAUACUGGUCUAUACUGCUGUGUACUGGUCUACAGUGGUGCAUACUGGUCUAUAGUGGUGCAUACUGGCCCAUAGUGGUCUGUGCUGUUGCGUACUGUUUUAUAGUGGUGCAUACUGGUUUAUACUGGUGCAUACUGGCCCAUAGUGGUGCAUACUGGCCCACAGUGGUCUGUGCUGUUGCGUACUGUUUUAUAGUGGUGCAUACUGGUCUAUACUGGUGCAUACUGGCCCAUAGUGGUACGUACUGGCCCACAGUCGUCUAUGCCGGUGUGUACUGGUGUGUACUGGUGCAUACUGGUGCAUACUGGCGCCCGCAGGUGGAGGUGCGGCGGACGGCGCGGGGGGCGGCGCUGCGCCCCCAGGCCCCCCUGGGGCUGAUGGUGACGGUGACGGUGACGGAGCCGGGGCCGGUGGCUGUGGCCCUGGGAGCCGUCGACGGCGCCGUGCUGGCCCUCGACAGGCGCCGCCGCCUCAGCCCCGAGCAGGUGCCGCAGCCCCCAACUGUCCCCCGGGACCCCCNNNNNNNNNNNNNNNNNNNNNNNNNNNNNNNNNNNNNNNNNN